GUGGGGAAUUUUGCGCAAUGGACGAAAGUCUGACGCAGCGACGCCGCGUGGGCGACGAAGGCCUUCGGGUCGUAAAGCCCUGUGGGGAGGAACGAACCGGCAUCUGGCUAACAUCCAGGUGCCCUGACGGUACCUUCUUAGCAAGCACCGGCUAACUCUGUGCCAGCAGCCGCGGUAAGACAGAGGGUGCAAACGUUGCUCGGAAUUACUGGGCGUAAAGCGCGUGUAGGUGGUUCGGCAAGUCGGGUGUGAAAGCCCAGGGCUCAACCCUGGAAGUGCACUCGAAACUACCGGGCUGGAGUACUGAAGAGGAGAGCGGAAUUCCCGGUGUAGAGGUGAAAUUCGUAGAUAUCGGGAGGAACACCAGUGGCGAAGGCGGCUCUCUGGGCAGAUACUGACACUGAGACGCGAAAGCGUGGGAAGCAAACAGGAUUAGAAACCCUUGUAGUCC
rnacentral:rRNA from 1 species